ACCUAAACGGGAUUGUAGCGAUAUCCUUUUAAAAUUAGCACCAGCUUCCGUCUCACUGUCAUGCUGAGGUACGAAGCAUCUGUUUCAUCGGAGACAGAUGCUUCGUACCUCAGCAUGACAAUUGCAUUUUAAAAGAUUUAGCGUAAAGCCCGACUGUCA
rnacentral:sRNA from 1 species